rnacentral:rRNA from 1 species
AGUGAACGCUGGCGGCGUGCCUAAUACAUGCAAGUCGAACGGAGUGGCGCACGGGUGAGUAAUAUAUAGCUAAUCUGCCCCUUGCUGGAGGACAACAGUUAGAAAUGACUGCUAAUACUCCAUAGCAAGGGAUGAGACUAUAUCGUAUCAGCUAGUCGGUGGGGUAACGGCCUACCGAGGCUAUGACGCGUAACUGGUCUGAGAGGAUGAUCAGUCAAAUUUGAACGGAGACACGGGCCAAGAUCCUACGGGAGGCAGCCGUAGCGUAUAUUGCGCAAUGGGGGAAUCCCUGAAGAAGCUACGCCGCGUGGAGGAUGACACUUUUCGGAGCGUAAACGCCUUUUGUUAGGGAAGCGGUACCUAACGAAUAAGCACCGGCUAACUCCGUGCCAGCAGCCGCGGUAAUUC